UGCGCAGGCGGUUAUGUAAGACAGGCGUGAAAUCCCCGGGCUUAACCUGGGAAUUGCGCUUGUGACUGCAUAGCUAGAGUAUGUCAGAGGGGGGUAGAAUUCCACGUGUAGCAGUGAAAUGCGUAGAGAUGUGGAGGAAUACCAAUGGCGAAGGCAGCCCCCUGGGAUAAUACUGACGCUCAUGCACGAAAGCGUGGGGAGCAAACA
rnacentral:rRNA from 1 species